rnacentral:rRNA from 1 species
AACGAACGCUGGCGGCAUGCCUAACACAUGCAAGUCGAACGAGACCUUCGGGUCUAGUGGCGCACGGGUGCGUAACGCGUGGGAACCUGCCCUUAGGUUCGGAAUAACUCCCCGAAAGGGGUGCUAAUACCGGAUAAUGUCUUCGGACCAAAGAUUUAUCGCCUUUGGAUGGGCCCGCGUUGGAUUAGCUAGUUGGUAGGGUAAAAGCCUACCAAGGCGACAAUCCAUAGCUGGUCUGAGAGGAUGAUCAGCCACACUGGGACUGGGACACGGCCCAGACUCCUACGGGAGGCAGCAGUGGGGAAUAUUGGACCAUGGGCGAAAGCCUGAUCCAGCAAUGCCGCGUGAGUGAUGAAGGCCUUAGGGUUGUAAAGCUCUUUUACCCGGGAUGAUAAUGACAGUACCGGGAGAAUAAGCUCCGGCUAACUCCGUG